GUCGGAGGGUGCAAGCGUUGUUCGGAUUGACUGGGCGUAAAGGGUGCGUAGGCGGCGCGGUAAGUCGGGUGUGAAAUCUCGGAGCUUAACUCCGAAACUGCAUUCGAUACUGCCGCGCUUGAGGACUGGAGAGGAGACUGGAAUUUACGGUGUAGCGGUGAAAUGCGUAGAUAUCGUAAGGAAGACCAGUGGCGAAGGCGGGUCUCUGGACAGUUCCUGACGCUGAGGCACGAAGGCCAGGGGAGCAAACGGG
rnacentral:rRNA from 1 species